rnacentral:lncRNA from 1 species
GAAACAGACUCAGAGAAGGGAGUUGACUUUCCUGUGGUCACACAGCAAUACAUGGCAAAAGUAGGACUUAAGAGAUGCCCAGGCCGAGGUACCACACUAAUCCUAUUUCCACCUCCCAAGUCAGCUUAUUCUGCCUCCUCAUAGUGAAGAUGCACAGGGCUUCAAAAAGCUACUAAUGGCCACAGCUGCAGUGUCAUUGUUUAAUUUUGUGCCAGUCAUGAAUUUUCAAGCUAUUGUUUUGAUUUUCAGGCUCCCACUGAUGAAGCUGGUUGCCGUGGAAAUUACCAGGCUGCAGAUGAUUUCAGUCUCAAGGUUGAGUUGGAUAUAUGUUGGGGUAUGCCGAAGACUGUUCCCACUGGCUUUCAAGAAAUGAUUAUUAAAUUAUCAGUGUCAGCAUUUACACUUCAGAAGUCAGCAAAAACUACAAAUAAGGGCUUGAUUUAUUGUUUUGUUGAAUGUCUAGGCUUAAGAAAGUGAUG